CGUGUAGGUGGCUUCGCAAGUCGGGUGUGAAAUCCCUGGGCUCAACCCAGGACGUGCAUCCGAAACUGCGUCGCUUGAGUGCUGGAGAGGGCAGUGGAAUUCCCGGUGUAGAGGUGAAAUUCGUAGAUAUCGGGAGGAACACCGGUGGCGAAGGCGGCUGCCUGGACAGCUACUGACACUGAGACGCGAAAGCGUGGGGAGCAAACA
rnacentral:rRNA from 1 species